AAUGAACGCUGGCAGCGUGCCUAACACAUGCAAGUCGAGCGAGCCGACGCAAGUCGGCUAGCGGCAGACGGGUGAGUAAUAGUUGGGAACAUGCCGAGAAGUGGGGGAUAGCUGCCCGAAAGGGUGGGUAAUCCCGCAUGUGAACGCAAGUUCAAAGCCGCAAGGCGCUUCUCGAGUGGCCCAACUCCUAUCAGGUAGUUGGUGGGGUAAAUGCCUACCAAGCCUGCGACGGGUAGCUGGUCUGAGAGGAUGAUCAGCCACACUGGGACUGAGACACGGCCCAGACUCCUACGGGAGGCAGCAGUGGGGAAUUUUGGACAAUGGGCGAAAGCCUGAUCCAGCCAUGCCGCGUGUCUGAAGAAGGCCUUCGGGUUGUAAAGGACUUUUGUCAGGGAGGAAAUCCCUAGUGCUAAUAACACUGGGGGAUGACAGUACCUGAAGAAUAAGCACCGGCUAACUACGUGCCAGCAGCCGCCGUAA
rnacentral:rRNA from 1 species